rnacentral:rRNA from 1 species
UACAGAGGGUGCAAGCGUUGUUCGGAAUUAUUGGGCGUAAAGCGCGUGUAGGCGGCUUUGCAAGUCGGGUGUGAAAGCCCUCAGCUCAACUGAGGAAGUGCGCCCGAAACUGCAGAGCUUGAGUGCCGGAGAGGGUGGCGGAAUUCCCCAAGUAGAGGUGAAAUUCGUAGAUAUGGGGAGGAACACCGGUGGCGAAGGCGG